UUGCCUGGUGGCUGAGUUAAAAGCGAUAGACUGUAGAUCUAUUAACGGAAUUAAGUUUCCCCGGCAAAC
rnacentral:tRNA from 1 species